AGCAUGGUGUAGUGGUUUAAGGGUUGGACUACCACUCUAGAGACCUGGGUUUGAUUCCCUGCUCUGCCA